rnacentral:rRNA from 1 species
GACGAACGCUGGCGGCGUGCUUAACACAUGCAAGUCGAACGGAAAGGCCUUUUCGGCGGUACUCGAGUGGCGAACGGGUGAGUAACACGUGGGUGAUCUGCCCUGCACUCUGGGAUAAGCCUGGGAAACUGGGUCUAAUACCGGAUAGGACCGCACUUUAGUGUGUGUGGUGGAAAGUUUUUUCGGUGUAGGAUGAGCCCGCGGCCUAUCAGCUUGUUGGUGGGGUAAUGGCCUACCAAGGCGGCGACGGGUAGCCGGACUGAGAGGGUGGUCGGCCACCUUGGGACUGAGAUACGGCCCAGACUCCGACGGGAGGCAGCAGGGGGGAAGAUUGCACAAGGGGCGCAAGCCUGAUGCAGCGACGCCGCGUGGGGGAGGACGGCCUUCGGGUUGUAAACUCCUUUCGCCAGGGACGAAGCGUUUUGUGACGGUACCUGGAGAAGAAGCACCGGCUAACUACGUG